rnacentral:rRNA from 1 species
ACCGGCUAACUCCGUGCCAGCAGCCGCGGUAAUACGGAGGGUGCGAGCGUUAAUCGGAAUUACUGGGCGUAAAGCGCAUGCAGGCGGCCUGUUAAGUCAGAUGUGAAAGCCCGGGGCUUAACCUCGGAAUUGCAUUUGAAACUGGCAGGCUAGAGUCUUGUAGAGGGGGGGUAGGAAUUUCAGGUGUAGCGGUGAAAUGCGUAGAGAUCUGAAGGAAUACCAGUGGCGAAGGCGGCCCCCCUCGGACAAAGACUGACGCUCAGAUGCGAAAGCGUGGGGAGCAAACAGGAUUAGAUACCCCUGGUAG